AUCACAAAAUCACAGAAAAGACUGCCGACGUCUUCAGCAGACAACCUACAUAAUGAGGCGAAGUCUAAAAAGUGAACACUGUUUAAAAUAUUUCUGAUUUUUUUUUCUUAUUAUUUUUAUAUGUCCUGCCCAGCAGUGUGGCACAAAAAAAAAAAAGAUGUUCUAGUGUGAAGGUGAGGCCCAACAGAUUCACUUUCACAACGGCUCUCACCAUCAUGCUCCACUUGAUGCAUAUAUGAAACUUUACUAGAAAUCUCUCUGCGGGUUUCUCAAAUGUAAUGGAAAAGUCUGCCUCUAAACCUGCAGAGAGAGAGAGAAAACAAAACCUAGAAACCACGACAACAAUCAACAUACACAUAAAUGUUAACAUUUCUAACAUCAUUGGAAAGUACGCAGCACAUGGAUGUACGCUGGCAUGCAUCUACACACAUUGUGCUUAACAAUUUAAACUUAUAAUGCCCUAACUCUUUCUUUUUCAUUUCAAAUGGCGAAUAUAAACACAGCCACACUGAGAUGAGUGGGUGGGUGUCCCAGUGUGGACAGUCUGUCUAUCAGCAAACACUGUUUUAUGCUGAUAAGUCUCAGGCCUCCCACAGCAUGAAAAGCCUCGGUAGUUUCCUAAAACCAAAAACAGAGGUUAAUGGUGUGAGUUACAGAGAACCACAACUCUUGGCAACAAAACAGAAUCGGCACAAAUACAUAAAAAAAAAAACAUGCUGAAAAACACAUUAUAGUACCUAUUAGUUUCAGUUCAAAUGUGGGGGGAAAAAAUGAGUUUUUUUGGAACAAAUUCCUGCCCAGGUCAGAGAGACAAUGUGUUUGUUGUUAAGAGAGAAUCUUGCAUUGCAGAAAUAUCGCUUGGCUACACCCAAGCUUAAGAAAGUCAAGUUCAAAUACACCGAGAAGUCUACGUGUGAGUACAGUCCGAGUUUGGACUGUAUUCCAGUCCGAAUGUGGAGUGGGUCCGUUUUGCAUUCGAUUGAAUCAGAUUUUGAAUAUAACUGGAAUAAAAAGGUGUAGGAUUGAGAUGUGAUUGGUGAUCAGGUUUUGGUAGUUGUUUCACACUUUGAAGCUGACAGAUAUAUAUAUAAAAAAAAAAAAGCUGCAUCACUUUCCCAGACUCUGCUGUGUUUGUUUGUUGCUCUCCUCAUGCUUUGAUUUGACUGUUUUUCUUCUGUUUCUGUGUAAAACUCCAGACUGAUCUUCAUGUCAUUUCUCGCUUCCUCCUCCAAGCUUUUCCAUCUCAGUAUAAUUUAGAUGGGACUCUUUAGGUUAGGUUACAUUUUGUGUUUAUUAUUCCAGGUUUUGUUUGUGAAUCCUCACUGUGAUUAAUCAUGGAUAUAAUCAUCAUUGCAAUUAUUUUCGAUAAAUGUAAAUAAUCGCACUCGUAUCAAAAUAAGUGCAACUGAUCGUUUAUUUUGAGACUCGUGCAUUUCUAAAAACUAGACUUUCAUCAAAUAUUUAACCAAGCUUCUACAUGCCACAUUCCAGAUGCUAAAUGGAUAAAUAAAUAUUGAAGUGGAAAAGACGGCGUUGGAAAGCAGCACUUUUACCUUUCACCCUUUUCUCACACCGUUAAAAGUACAUUUCUACGCCUGCAGCCCUCAUUAGUCAAAUCCCUUCCCUGACAUUCCUCAGAUAAAAAAAAGGCAAGAAAAUUUGAAAUAUAGAUGUCUAAUUAACUUCAUCCUUACUUUGAACUGUUAGCAUGACAUUCAUAAGUCUGCUAACUACUGAAUUUGGCAUUCCCUGGUGGAUUUGCAGCGGUAGCCUGGUGUAAAAGCAGCGCUCCGCGGUUAGCGGUGCAGCGACAGACCACAUCAAAGCUUCCCCCUGCUGAAGGACUCGGUGUUUGAAGUCAGGCGGAUUUGGAUCCCUUUGAGAUGCAUCAUCAUUUACCAUUGAUGACUGUUUAUUACUGCGGCAGAGAUAAGGGAACGUCUGCUUCGGAGUGCCUGACAAGCCGCUUCAGACCGUUGUCCGCGUGUGAACUGAGCUGACGGAGUCCUGGAACUUUUGCUGGAUCAUAUUUUUGAUAGACUCUGUGAUCGUUCGGAGCAUGUCCUUGACCGUAUGCCCCUGGAUCUGGAUUUCCUGGACUUUAUCUGCACUCUAGAACUAAUUUUUUUAAAUGCCAUGUCUUGUCAGAUAGAUGUUCCUUCAAAUAUUUUGGAUGCGUCAGCUCAUUUGCACAGACUAAUUAAUUUAGAAAAACAAAGUGAAGAACAACAAACAACUGUUGUGCAUAUUGAGCAAGGACCAGCUGGGCGACAACGGAUGGUCAUAUCCUCAGACUACCUUUGCAGUCUUUUAGAACUCCAUCUCCCUGUCCCAUGCAUCGCCAAACUCUUGGGUAUAUCUAGACGGACUGUAUAUCGACGGAUGGCAGAAUCUGGUCUUUCAGUGAGGGCAUUAUACACCACCAUGUCAGAUGAUGACUUAGACCAAUGUGUGAGAGAGACAUUAGAUCCAGGCAGCCUCACUCUGGGUACCGAAUGGUAAAGGCCCUUCUGCAAGCCAGAGGACUGAGGAGCUACAAUCUAAAGCCAACUUCAGCUUCGAUCCAGAAUCAGUUAGGAUCGCCGCCACAGCUAGAGGAUCGGACUGACGUUUCCGUCUGUGCAGUCCCGUUCUGUUUAGGAUCCUGCUCAGAGUGUGCCUGCUAUUAUUGGUUUCAACCACAGUGCAAAGCAGCAUCAGUAUCUCCGUGUUUUAGACUAAACAUGAAGGGAAACUUGACCAAGUCCUGUUAGCCACUGUACUAGCCUGGCAUAAUACCGCCACUUCCUGGACAUAAAAUUAUCAUGUUUAUACAAGAUGCGUAUCAUGUUUUAACAAGAUAACUAUCACGUUUUAAUAAGAUACGUAUGACGUUAUAACGUGAUAGCGCUCGAUUUUUUUCCCCUGGAUUAAAUAGCAAUAAGCUUCCGUACCAGUUUCAAAAUUCACCAUUUAUGAAAUGUAAAGCAAAAUGCUGAUCAUGUUACCACAAAGGUGAAUUUUAGUGUCUUUAUGGUAGACAUGUUUAAGAACUAAAAUGUUCUAAAUUUGUAAUUUGAUUGUUUUUUCUUUACUCAAAAGGAACCUAGUAGGUACAUUUGUACAUUGUUCUAGGACUUUACAUUUCUUGCAUUAUAAGAAUCAGAAAAAAGUUUUGUUUGUCUUAUGUAAUUUAUUUUCUAAUACUUCAAGCAUAUAUGAACUCAUCUAAGUACAUUCAAUAAAAUUUUGCAUAAAAAAC